rnacentral:piRNA from 1 species
UGAAAGUGGAAGGAUUAAACCUUAAAACAUU